GUUAGGAAUAUUGGACAAUGGGCGCAAGCCUGAUCCAGCCAUGCCGCGUGAGUGAUGAAGGCCUUCGGGUUGUAAAGCUCUUUAGCCGAUGAUUAUAAUGACUGUAGUCGGAAAAUAAGCCCCGGCUAACUUCGUGCCAGCAGCCGCGGUAAUACGAAGGGGGCGAGCGUUAUUCGGAAUCACUGGGCGUAAAGCGUGCGUAGGCGGUUUUGUAAGUUGGGAGUGAAAGCCCAGGGCUCAACCCUGGAAUUGCUCUCAAAACUACAAGACUUGAAUUCGGGAGAGGAUAGCGGAAUUGUCAGUGUAGCAGUGAAAUGCGUAGAUAUUGACAGGAACACCAGUGGCGUAAGCGGCUAUCUGGACCGACAUUGACGCUGAGGCACGAAAGCGUGGGGAUCAAACAGGAUUAGAAACCCGAGUAGUCC
rnacentral:rRNA from 1 species